GAAGUCAGACAGACAGUCGCCGCGCUGCUGCGCAAGCAGGGGCGGGGAGGAAAGUCCGGGCUCCGCAGAGCAUGAUGCCGGCUAACGGCCGGGCGCCGUGAGGCGACGGAAAGUGGAACAGAGAGCUGAACCGCCGAUGGCUGACUUGUCAGCACAGGUAAGGGUGAAAAGGUGCGGUAAGAGCGCACCGCGGACGUGGCAACACGGACGGCAGGCUAAACCCCAUCAGGAGCAAGACCAAAUAGGGGGGCGUUAACGUGGCUCGCGUUGUCCCCGGGUAGGUUGCUUGAGACUGUCGGUAACGGCAGUACUAGAGGAAUGACUGUCCAACGACAGAACCCGGCUUAUCGGCUGACUUCCAAU
rfam:Aquitalea magnusonii strain SM6 contig_9, whole genome shotgun sequence.